AUAACCGGCGAACGGGUGCGUAACACGUGAACAACCUGCCCUCGUGUGGGGGAUAGCCAUGCUAACGCGUGGGUAAUACCGCAUACGGUCCUUUGGGGGAGUCCCUGGGGGAAGAAAGCUCCGGCGCACGGGGAGGGGUUCGCGGCCUAUCAGCUAGUUGGGGGGUAAUGGCCCACCAAGGCGACGACGGGUAGCUGGUCUGAGAGGAUGGCCAGCCACAUUGGGACUGAGAGACGGCCCAG
rnacentral:rRNA from 1 species